rnacentral:rRNA from 2 species
UACGAAGGGGGCUAGCGUUGUUCGGAAUGACUGGGCGUAAAGGGCGCGUAGGCGGUUCAUCAAGUCGGGCUGUGAAAGCCCCGGGCUCAACCCGGGAACUGCGCUCGAGACUGGUGGACUGGAGUGCGGGAGAGGAUGGUGGAAUUCCCAGUGUAGAGGUGAAAUUCGUAGAUAUUGGGAAGAACACCGGUGGCGAAGGCGACCAUCUGGACCGCAACUGACGCUGAGGCGCGAAAGCGUGGGGAGCAAA